rnacentral:lncRNA from 1 species
AUUCAGUACGCUACUGACAUAUCCAUUUGAAAUAUUUUAAACUACAACCAUACUUUAAGUACAGUACAUGCAAUUCUCCAAACUACACAAAAUUACUUCUAAUUUAAAACCAUAGCCAAAAAUAUAUAUAAAUAUACAAUCCCAAAAGUAUAACUGUAUAUAUACAUAACUCUAAAAUAUGAAAACAACCACCCUAUUUACAUCCUGGAUGGUAUUGUAGUGGACCGACCUUUAUCUCUAGCAAAAAUCUGCAACCAAAAGGGUGACAGGAGAGUGUUAGAAAGAAUCAUAAUAGAAAAAAACUUGGCACACAAUUUUAGAUGGAUCAUAUCAGUGAAAAUGACCAGCUUUCUCAAAUAAGCUAUGCAACAACAAUUCAAAUUCUAUAUGUGUAAAUAAUUUCUCCAAAACAGGAGAUUAAAUCUCAUCCAAGCAAGAAAAAAAUAUUUUUCUACACAAAUUUGUUUCCAUAAAUAAAUAACCUUUAUCAUUUUACCAUGUGCCAAAUGAGUCGUUUAAAACCUCACACCCGGGAGUUAUGACUGUACCCAUUACCUCAGUCACAAACUCACAAUAGUGGGUUUGUGAGAAGGGCCAUUCUUUAUCACCAAGGAUAUGUCCAGCAUGUUAGAUUAGUAGUCAACCAAAAGGUAACAACAACCAAGCUCCACCGUGCAAAACAACACCCAAGUUUGCCAAAUAUCAACACAAGCACACAACCAAACUUGCCAACAAUAGCACAAGAGGCAACAUCAAAAUAACAGUUAAUAACCAAAAUAUGAUCCAUCUUAAUCAAAAGUAUAUCAAAUUUCUACACUACAUAUUAUAUCAUAUGAAGUACUAGUUCCAAUUAAAACCUGAAAAGCUUCAAACUAUUAUGAACUAGACACUCUCACCUUAACAAAGUCAAAAUUUUUGAUACACAAGUCAAUUCUUUACUUUGGCGACGUACUUGACACGCGAUUAUGUUAUCCCCACAUAAAAUAUGAAUUAUACAAUAUCUAAUCAGAUUCUAUUUCUUCCUAUAACAAAAAAAUGCAAGGAAAUGCAAGAACAUGCAACAUGCAACUCUUACCAUGUUGCGAUUUCCUAUUUUUAUGAGUACCGAAAUAUUUUCUAUAAAUCAUAAAAUUUUGUACGAAAUAGUAUACAUACACAGGUACAACAUAUUAAAAUUUAAGAAUUUUUUAAUACCAUUAACUAUUUUUUAAAAUUCAAAUUUCAGAGAUUCAAAUUCUGCACUACAGAGAUUCAACAAUAGCAACUCGGUUUAUCAUUUUUAUAAAUUUUCUCGAAUCUAAUUUUUGACGCAAGUAUUUUACACACAUCCUAUAUACAUUUACCUAUACAGAAAUUGUAACUACAUAAUAUUUUUUUAAAAAAUUCGAAAACCUUCUCAGAAUUUUUAAAAUCUGAUUACCCAAAUAAACACAAAAAUUCGAAAAUCAAAUUAUUGCUCUAUAAUCACAUCAAAUUGUCAAUACAACAUAAACUAACCUUAAACAAGGCAUAGUAUCUAUGACUCUCAUAUUUUUUCUAAUUUCAUAUCCGAUUCUCAAAUAUGAGAAGUUUGAACAAAUCUGGACAUAUUUAUAUUGAAUCAUAUCUCAGUAACUUUUCCAAGCCUCUCUCCUAGUUUUCUUCUUCUUCUAUCCAGCUCUGCCCUUCCCUCUCUCCGUCUCUGUUUUGUUAGUUAUUGUUUGUUUUCUUAUAUACACUAUAUACAUACAUUCGAUAAAACCAGGAAGAAACAGUGGUUCCUAUGACAAAAUUACAAUUUUUUUUAAUCCAAUUCCACCUUUUUCCCCCUAUAUUUAAUUAUAUUAUCUCGAUAUUAGGAUAUUUAGAUUUCACCCCAUAAACUUUUUAAAUCAUCUUACUUAUUUCCUUGCAACUUAAUAACUACUAUUAAAUUACUUCAUUAAACAAUUAAUAUUUAAAACACGGGUUUCACACUUCCCUCCCCUUAAAAGAAUUUCGUCCUGAAAUUUUACAUACCGUGGUUAAAUAAGUGGGGAUAUUGACUCCGUAUUUUAUCUUCUCUUUCCAAGUUGCCUCUUCGCUUGUAUUACUACGGCACACACCUUCACAAGGGUAUAGGCUUGGUUCGCAAUACUGAUCUUUUUAUCCAAAAUUGUAAUGUCCAACAUCAGACAAAUCUUCUUUAACUCAAUAGAUUGCCCAGUUAAAACAUGAGAAAGGACCUGGUAUAUACUUUUUCACAUUGAGAAAUGGAAUACAUUAUGUUUAUGUAACUGGGCUAACUCUGGAGGCCAAAACCAAAUGAUAAGCUAUACUAACCCAAUUUCUGGAUAAUCUCCUACGGUCCAAUGUUACGAGGACUCAAUUGUCCUUUCUUUCCAAAUCUCAGCAACCCUUCAUGGUGUGAUGAAACCGCCAGAAAUACUAAUCGCAACUUCAAAUUCCAAAUCCCUUCUACGAUUAUCAGGUAACUUUUUGUGCCUAUAUGGGUUUCUUGUUCUUUUCUCGAUCACCUUUACUUUUUUUCUCUAGUGAGUUCAAUAUAAUGGCUCAAGUAACUUUCUUUCUUUACUUCUGCCAAGGGCAUAUUGGACUUCGAUAUUUUUGGCCAUACAAAGCUUCAUAUGGAGGCCAUACCAAUGUCGACUGAAAACUUUAUUAUAGGCAAAAUUCUAUCGAGGUUAAAUAGUCCUCCCAACUACCCUUUGAAAAUCUAGUACACACGAUCGAGCAUAUCUUCCAUAUGGUAUAGUCCGUUCUGAAUAUCCAUCAGCUGCGAUGAAAUGCAGUACGAAAUAUCAAAGUCGUGCUAAAGCAUUUGUAAAACUUGGCCAAAUUAGAUGUAAGCGAGGAUUUCCCGAUCAGAAACAAUAGAGAUUGAGUACCAUCAAUUUAAUAAUCUCAUCGAACACAAGCGGCAUUAUUCUCCAUAGAAAAUGUGUCUUAAUUAGGUAAAAAAAGUGUGCAGGACUUUGUCAUCAUCAACAUCACCCAAAUAGCCUUUCAUGUCCUUUUGGAGGGCGAGGUAGUCAUGUCACAAAGUCUAUGGUAAUUAUGGUUCCCAUUUCCCACUUCAGCGCUAUAGGAAGAGGUUGGUAACAAACCCUGCUGGUCUUAGAGGGUUCAUCUUUACUUGUUGACACACCAAACAUUUGCUACCAAAACAGUUAUAUCUCACUUUACACCAUUCCACAGUAAUUUUCUCAUAAAAUCUUGUACAUUUUGGUACUCAUGGAUUGCCAUAGCAUAAGUAGAACUAGAGCCUUUCAAGUAUUUUCCCUUUGCAAACUCAAUAUUAUCAAGGUACACACAAGUCUAUUACCAGAUAGCAAUGCAUUAUCCCUAUCAAGAUAUGACAAAAUCAGUUCUCAAGCCGGCUUUUAUCUGAUCUGAUCUUGUUAUCUGAUUCUUUGAAUUUGAAGACUCCGAAUAGCCAUCAAACAAAGUGUAGGUCUCAAUGAAGAGUAGCCAGGUAGCUCCAAUUUUAUUAAAGUCUAAUUUAACUUGAAGGGACUUCAAAUCAGAAUAUAAAUUAGUGCGGAAGAUUGCCAAGUCCGUAAAUUUGCGACCUCAAAAGCAUCAGCCACAACAUUUAAUCAAUUUUCAUCCAUCUCCUUUGUCUAAAUUCAAAUCUUUUCUAUGUAAAAAGAUACCUUUAGACUCUGAUGGAUUAGUAUCAAUCUCACAUGAACACCACCUAAAUAGUGUCGCCACAACUUCAAUGCAAAAAAAAUAAUAGCGUGCUAACCUCUAAAUUGGGUAGGAUAAUUUCUCUUAUGGGGUUUUAAGUGUCUAGAACGCAUAUGCAAUGAACCUUAACAUGUUUGCAUUAAAACAAAUCCACAACCUUGAUGUGAGGUAUCACUAUAUAUCACAACCACAUUGUCUGAAGGAAGUAUUGGUACUAGUAAACCAUCGAACUUUCAAUUCUAAAAAAUUUGCUCCCACCUGAUCAGUCCAUUCAAACUUCACAUUCGUUUGGGUCAUCGAUCAGUGACUUAGCAUAAGAGAAAAAUCUUCAAAAAAAUCUGCGGUAGUAUCCCUCUAGGACCCAAGAAACACUAGCGAAUUUCUAAUCACACUUGUUUGCCUUUUCCAUUCAUCAUACACCACUUCCACUGCCUCAAUUUUCUUCGUAUCCACUUGAAUACCAUUGCCUAAAAUCACAUGCCCCAAAACACAACAUUAUCCAACCAAAAUCACAUUACUUAAUUUUGGCAUACAACUGUUUCUCUCUUUCUACUGUUUCUCCUCUCUCAAAAUCUGGCAACACAACUCUUAAAUGGUCAAUGUUCCUCUUGACUUCGAGAAUACACCAUAUAUCUCAAUGAAUACAAUGACAACAAAACUUUCCAAGAAAUCCUUGAAUACUCUAUUCAUUAAAUCCAUGAUGCGGCAUAGCAUUUGUUUUAAUCCAAAAAGCAUAAAACACACAUUCAUAAUGUCCAUAUCUAGUUCGAAAACAGUUUUAGGAAUAUCAGCCUCAUUAACCUUCAAUUGAUGAUACCUAGACUAGAUCAAUUUUUGAGAAAAUCUAGCACCUUGUAACUGAUCAAAUAAAUCGUUCAAUUCUAGGCAAAGGAUAUCUAGUUUUCCACCAUGACCCUGUUUUACUGUUUUGUAAUCAAUACAGUAAUCUCAUUGUACCAUCUUUCUUUUUGACAACAACACAGGUGCACCACAUGGUGAAACACUAGGUCUGAUAAAACCUUUAUCAAGCAAUUUUGCAUGUUCUUAAACUCCUUUAACUCCGCGGUGACAUACGAUAAAGGGUAAUAGAAAUAGGUGAUGUACCUGGCAAUAACUCAAUUGUGAAGUCAAUUUACCUACGCUAGUACUCCCUGGCAACUCCAGUCAACUACAUCUAACAUAUGAAUAUACAAUAUCUAAUCAGAUUCGAUUCUUCCUAUUAACAAAAAAAUGCCAAAUGAAAUGCACGAACAGGCAACACAUACAACUCUUACCAUAUUGCGAUUCCCUAUUUUUAUGAGUUACGAAAGCUUUUUUAUAAAUCAUGAAAUUUUGUACCAAAUAGUAUACAUAUGCAGGUACAAAAUAGUUAAAAUUUCAGACUAUUUUAAUACAGUAACUAUUUUUUAAAAAUUCAAAGUGGAGAUUCAAAUUCUGCACCUUAAGAGAUUUAACAGAGCACUCGUUUAAUCAUUUUUCUAAAUUUCUCGAUCUAAUUUGACUCCAAAAAGUUACACAAACAUACUAGAUACAUUUAUCCACCUACAGAAAAACUUUCAGAAAUUUGUACAUUUACAUAACUAUUGUAAAAAUUAGACAAUGCUUUCAGAAUUUUCAGAAUCUGUUCACCAUAAAUAACACAAAACAGUCCGAAAAUCAAAAUUAUUGAUCGAUAAUCAAUCAAAUUCAAAUACAACAUAAACUAACUAAACAAGCAUAUAUCUAUUGAUUCUCAAUUUGUUUUUCUAAUUUCAUAUCCAGAUCUAAAAUAUGAGAAAGUUUGAAACAAAUCUAACAUAUAUAUAUAUUGAAAUCAUACCUAAUUAAAUUUUUCCAAGCCUUCUUUCCUAGUUUUCUUCUUCUCUUAUCAGAGCUCUGCCCUUCUCUCUCUCCGUCUCUGUUUUGUUGUUGUUGUUCUUCUUAUACACAUAUAUACAUACAUUCGAUAAGAAAAAGGAAGAAGCGACGGUUUCUAUGAAUAAAUUACAAUUGUUUUAUCCAAAUUACACUUUUUCCCCUAUAUUUAAUGUAUUAUCUCAUAUUAGUUCGGAUAUUAUCGAUUUCACCCAUAAUUUUAAAUCAUAUAACUUCUAUCCCUGCAGACAUUUAAUAACUACUAUUAAAUUUAAUUCAUUGAGAAGACCAAUACAUUUUAAACAGCGGAUUCACAUGGAUGGUCAUUAAUGGGCCAAUUUCCAAUCAAAUUCUAAUAUUCUCAUGGUAAUUAUGUUAAUCUCAUUAAUCCUUUAACUAAGUCAUGGCUUGGAAAACCAUAGCAAAGUAUGUAUCAUGUAUACCAGGAUUCCUGUACAGGCUCUCUAAUUCCUAAAUUGAAAAAUUAUCAACUUCAGCAUAAUACUUCUUAUUUGGGACCCCCUAUAUAACUAUUCUGGUGUAUCAAAGUAUAUCCACGGUGUGUACAACCAACUUUAUAUUAAGUAUCUCCCAUUAUGGGUGAAUACAAAGUAAACAAAUAGCAAUAAGAUGGUGUUAAUAACCAAUAUUAGACAAACUGGAUGCAAGUGCAAGAUGUUGUUAAAUGGAGACAAACAAUACAAUAUAGCAACCAAAUAAUUCCAUGGGGGUAAAUGCUUCAAUUAUACAAAAAGGCAGCAAUCUGUUGUCAAUACAAAAAACUAAAGUCUAAAACAACCGAAAACAUUCUCACAUUCCCCCCAAACACAAAAACCCUACUUUAGUCUCACAAGAUGUGAAAAAAAAACCUAGAAACAACAAUUGGAAGGCAUAUUCACACAUGUUUAAAUACUUAACACCAAAACCAGGAUAAUAGCCUUUCUUGUUGAUGCGGACUAAUCAGCACCUGAUUCAUCGCAAACCCUCUUGAUGGUUUGAAGCCCUAUGUGCAUUAUGACUUAAGCCAUUGUAUGUGCUAUAGUAAUGCCCUAGGUGGGGCAGCGUCGUUUUGACGCGUUAUUUCCUGCCAAAUAAAACUGCUUCAUUUGUGAGCAGAAUUAAUAAAUAAUAGUUUUGAUUGAAAUCAAAAUAAAUGUUUCGGGUUUUAAAUUACAAACAAAAAGGAAAUGUAAAGUUUUAAUGAAAAAUGGAUUGAAAUGCUAAUUUUUCUCUUUUGGGCAUUUUCCCUAAAAGAGAAUAAAGAACAGUCUUUUGAUCAUACAAAUUUGAUUUACUGAUCAAAAAAAAUAAUAAAGAACAUGGAAAUAGAAACUUCAUGGUUUUCCUGGACGGUAUGAUAUAUAUGUUUUACGUUUGGGGUUUGGCAAAAAAUUCAAGGGCUGUUGAGUUGGUGGAAAUGGAGAAGGUCAGGGAGGUUGAUCUAGAAACAUUUCAGGAUGACUAUAAUUGUGCAGUCACUUACAAUUGUGACGUGAGUGAAUGAGAGAUGAUUUCAUUUCCUUUAUAUGAUCUACAAAUAAAUAUUAAUUGUUCUACAUGCGUUGCUUCUUGAUACUGGUUGCUGUUGCUCUAGUUAUGCUAUUGUCUUAUUACAUUGAAAUUUUAUGUAAACUAUGAUUCUUAUGGUAUAGGAUGCUAUGUCAUGUUGGAAAUUCAGGUUACUCAGUUGUGGUUUAAAGGUAUGUAUUGUUCUCCUAAACAAUAGGGAACAAUCGUGUGAAAAAAUAGAAGUGGGAUGUACAAUGAUUGACCCUUCCUUAUGAUUCUCUUUUUUAUAGUUAUUCUGAUAUAAUUUUGCAUUGUUACAAGAACUGUUUUGUGGAAAUGUUGAAUGUAUGAAUACAAAGUGAAUGACAAAAUAAUAAAUGCAAAAAUGGUAUGAUGGAUAUGCCGUGGAUGGAUAUGCAGUUGAUAGAUCUGUGAUUGCGUCUUCAUACUUGACAUAUAGCCUUG